rnacentral:rRNA from 1 species
UGGGGAAUAUUGCACAAUGGGCGCAAGCCUGAUGCAGCCAUGCCGCGUGUGUGAAGAAGGCCUUCGGGUUGUAAAGCACUUUCAGCGAGGAGGAAGGUGGUGAGCUUAAUACGCUCAUCAAUUGACGUUACUCGCAGAAGAAGCACCGGCUAACUCCGUGCCAGCAGCCGCGGUAAUACGGAGGGUGCAAGCGUUAAUCGGAAUUACUGGGCGUAAAGCGCACGCAGGCGGUUUGUUAAGUCAGAUGUGAAAUCCCCCGGGCUCAACCUGGGAACUGCAUUUGAAACUGGCAAGCUAGAGUCUCGUAGAGGAGGGUAGAAUUCCAGGUGUAGCGGUGAAAUGCGUAGAGAUCUGGAGGAAUACCGGUGGCGAAGGCGGCCCCCCUGGACGAAGACUGACGCUCAGGUGCG